rnacentral:rRNA from 1 species
CGGAGGAUCCAAGCGUUAUCCGGAAUCAUUGGGUUUAAAGGGUCCGUAGGCGGUUUGGUAAGUCAGUGGUGAAAGCCCAUCGCUCAACGGUGGGACGGCCAUUGAUACUGCCAGACUUGAAUUAUUAGGAAGUAACUAGAAUAUGUAGUGUAGCGGUGAAAUGCUUAGAGAUUACAUGGAAUACCAAUUGCGAAGGCAGGUUACUACUAAUGGAUUGACGCUGAUGGACGAAAGCGUGGGUAGCGAACAGGAUUAGAUACCCUGGUAGUCCACGCCGUAAACGAUGGAUACUAGCUGUUGGGAGCAAUCUCAGUGGCUAAGCGAAAGUGAUAAGUAUCCCACCUGGGGAGUACGUUCGCAAGAAUG